rnacentral:rRNA from 1 species
GAUGAACGCUGGCGGCGUGCCUAAUACAUGCAAGUCGAGCGAACGGACGAGAAGCUUGCUUCUCUGAUGUUAGCGGCGGACGGGUGAGUAACACGUUGAUAACCUACCUAUAAGACUGGGAUAACUUCGGGAAACCGGAGCUAAUACCGGAUGAUAUUUUGAACCGCAUGGUUCAAAAGUGAAAGACGGUCUUGCUGUCACUUAUAGAUGGAUCCGCGCUGCAUUAGCUAGUUGGUAAGGUAACGGCUUACCAAGGCAACGAUGCAUAGCCGACCUGAGAGGGUGAUCGGCAACACUGGAACUGAGACACGGUCCAGACUCCUACGGGAGGCAGCAGUAGGGAAUCUUCCGAAAUGGGCGAAAGCCUGACGGAGCAACGCCGCGUGAGUGAUGAAGGUCUUCGGAUCGUAAAACUCUGUUAUUAGGGAAGAACAUAUGUGUAAGUAACUGUGCACAUCUUGACGGUACCUAAUCAGAAAGCCACGGCUAACUACGUG